ensembl:misc_RNA predicted gene, 27972
AAGCCCCGCCGACUGCCCUCUGGUGUAAGUUAAUUUUUUUGAUGAUUUUUGGGGGAUUUUCCGGCGCGAUCCUAGCGUCGCGCUACGCUCGGACAGGUUAUCCCUUCCCUCCCGCUAGAUUGAUGAGAUCAGGCAUC